AUGCUAGCUCAGACACGGCUGGAAGGGACUCAGCCUGGUCCUUCCUCUUGCUGGCCAGGGCUGCGGGCGGCCGUGCAGUUGGUCGAGUCCAGGGGGGACCUCCGCACCCCCGGGGGGUCCCUGCCCCUCCGCUGCAAGGGCUCCGGCUUCGACUUCAGCAGGUUCCCCAUGUUGUGGGUCCGUCAGGGUCCCGGUAAAGCCCUUGAGUUCGUCGCAGGGAUUAGGAACGAUGGUGGUUACACCAGGUACGCGCCGUCGGUCAAGGGUCGCUUCACGCUCUCGCGGGACAACGCGCCCAGCACG